CCUAUUCAAGAUGGAGACGCCCUGGUUCAGACGCCUCUGACAGAUGCUCCAAGAUGAUGUGAAGACCAGAAGUUUUUUGAAUUGCAUCUCUAAUGACCUAUCAGAUCAGAAGACUGGUAAACCUGGAGCCUCAUCCCAAGAGGUGAUGGUGUCUGGGUUUAUUAUGGAUCGCAGGAUGUAACUAUCAAUCUGGAGCUUUAGGGGGAAGAAGAAAGAAUAUUUUGAACCACACCAGGAGAAUUACCCUAGAGAAUAUAAGUUCACCUGCCAAAAUGGGAGGCUGGCAUCUUUUUGCUCUAUGAGAAGGCUGCUGAGCUAACAGGUCUGCCUUGGCAUAAAUGUCUAGAAGAGCAUGUGUCUCCUGGAGUAUGGGGACAUUUGUGUUUCCAUAAAUUGGCAGCUGCUUCUGGUUAGAGACUUCUAAAAGGUCUGGAAUACUGGAAUACUGGUAUAGUCCAAAAGGGGAAGAUGAAAAGGAGCCGUGGAACAUUGUACCAGGAAGAAGAUGGGACAUUACUCUCCGCAUGCCCUGGAGCUUUCGGAAGACGUAUAAGAGGAUCUUAGUUUCCAUAGCUCCACAUGAAAGAGCAAGCAGGGCUGCUGAUGUCCACUGUGGGCUCCAAGUGAGGGACUGGCCCAUGGGCAGGAGGUGAGGGAGACUUACUUGCUUUUCUCUGAGCUGGUCCACAGGAGCAGAGGAGACUGGGGUGAGCCUCACUCCAGAAUACUUGUAGAGUAUGUGACACCGGUUACCAACCUUGGCUCCACAAAAAUUACCUGUGAACCUUCUAAAAUACACAUAAGAAAUUCUUACUGAAUUGAACUGGGACGAGAUUCCACGUAUCAGGAUUCUGUAAAAGCUCCCCCAGUGACUCAAGAUGAAGUCCGGGUUGAAGACCAGUGAUAUGCAGGAAAUGUGUCCUGUGAUUUGAAACCACAUUCCAUUUGUCAAGCAAGACACUACGGCCACAUAAUGGAGAUCUACUUCCAUAUGAACCAGUGGAUUUCACUCUGCUUAAUGG
ensembl:lncRNA novel transcript